UACAGGGGGUGCAAACGUUGCUCGGAAUUAUUGGGCGUAAAGCGCGCGUAGGCGGCUACCUAAGUCGGAUGUGAAAGCCCCUGGCUUAACUGGGGAAGUGCACCCGAAACUGAGUAGCUAGAGUGCAAAGAGGGCCGCGGAAUUCCGGUGUAGAGGUGGAAAUUCGUAGAUAUCGGGAGGAACACCGGUGGCGAAGGCGGCGACCUGGGUUGACACUGACGCUGAGGCGCGAAAGCGUGGGGAGCAAACAGG
rnacentral:rRNA from 1 species